rnacentral:tRNA from 1 species
GCCCCCGUAGCUCAGUGGAUAGAGCGCAGGCCUCCGAAGCCUGAAGCCGCGGUUCGAGUCCGCGCGGGGGUA